rnacentral:lncRNA from 1 species
AUGCUGAGACUGGACCAGUUUCAGGGGCAGCUGCAGGACCUCGUGUCCCACUUCCAGCUGCAGUGUGAUACUCAGGACCUCAGGACACCUGCUGAUGAGAUGGAGCUCUUCAGAUUGGUGUCACAGGAGUUCCGGGUGAUCUUCCAGAAGCAGGAGGAGGCGAGGGCCCUGGUCCAGUACGGAAGCACUGAGGCAGUGGAGAGGCAGCUGGGGAGGAAGGGCUCCGGGGCGGCCCUGAGGAAGGAGGCCAAUUGGGUUCCCUUCAUUCAGAUUAAGCCCAAGCUUGACCCCUGGCAGCAAAAGUUCAUCACUAAGCUGAAGGAGCAGAACUCAUUGGAUGAGCUUCUACAGAAUCUGUCCAAGUGUUGUCAGUUGUCAGAUCCUGACAAAGCUAUGGAGGCUUUGAGGCAGCAUACUUCUUCUGUGGUGAAGCCUGAAAGUGUGGAACCUUUCACACUGGACCCAAGGUCCACAGGAGGAAAGAGUGCUUCACAGAUAUGGACCAGUCUGUACAAUUCUGCUCUUACUUCUCAGGAUUCCAUGGGUAAACAUGGUGGGUUAUCUCUGCAAAAAAACAAACAAGGAUUAAAGAAGCCAAGGCUUGGCAGCAGCACUGAGCUCCUGGGACUUGAGGAGUUCUUCGGGGACGGAGGUGUCGACUCAGCGGAGUCAAGAGGGGCCUACCUCUCCCUGGUAUACCUACGUUACCUCAGGAUGCGGGAGCUACAGAAUGCAUGCCUGAACAUGCUGAACUACAUGCGAUCUGUGGAGAGAACACUCACCUUUGACACAGCAGGUGUGGUGAUGGAGGGAGGAGAGCUGAAGAACAGAAAGGAGGAGUGGGGGUGGAUGAGUGCGGUCAGGAGGGACGCGGGGGCCAAAGGUGGUAUUGGGUCCCAUCACCAGAUCUACAGCACACCCACUGACUACCAGGUGAGACACGGUAGCAAAUGCACAAACACUCAGUCAUGAGGAUAAGGGCUGAGAUCCAAUGU